AUUGAACGCUGGCGGCAUGCCUUACACAUGCAAGUCGAACGGUAACAGGUCUUCGGAUGCUGACGAGUGGCGAACGGCUGAGUAAUACAUCGGAACGUGCCUAGUAGUGGGGGAUAACUACUCGAAAGAGUGGCUAAUACCGCAUGAGAUCUACGGAUUAAAGCAGGGGAUCGCAAGACCUUGUGCUACUAGAGCGGCCGAUGGCAGAUUAGGUAGUUGGUGGGAUAAAAGCUUACCCAACCGACCAUCUGUAGCUGGUCUGAUAGGACGAUCAGCAACACUGGGACUGAGACACGGCCCAGACUCCUACGGGAGGAAGCAUUGUGGAAUUUUGGACAAUGGGCGCAAGCCUGAUACAGCAAUGCCGCGUGCAGGAUGAAGGCCUUCGGGUUGUAAACUGCUUUUUUACGGAACGAAAAGCCCCGGGUUAAUACCCUGGGGUCAUGACGGUACCGUAAGAAUAAGCACCGGCUAACUACGUGCCAGCCGCCGCGGUAA
rnacentral:rRNA from 1 species